rnacentral:rRNA from 1 species
AACGAACGCUGGCGGCAUGCCUAACACAUGCAAGUCGAACGAGACCUUCGGGUCUAGUGGCGCACGGGUGCGUAACGCGUGGGAACCUGCCCUUAGGUUCGGAAUAACUCCCCGAAAGGGGUGCUAAUACCGGAUAAUGUCUUCGGCCCAAAGAUUUAUCGCCUUUGGAUGGGCCCGCGUUGGAUUAGCUAGUUGGUAGGGUAAAAGCCUACCAAGGCGACGAUCCAUAGCUGGUCUGAGAGGAUGAUCAGCCACACUGGGACUGAGACACGGCCCAGAAUCCUACGGAAGGCAGCAGUGGGGAAUAUUGGACGAUGGGCGAAGGCCUGAUCCAGCAAUGCCGCGUGAGUGAUGAAGGCCUUAGGGUUGUAAAGCUCUUUUACCCGGGAUGAUAAUGACAGUACCGGGAGAAUAAGCACCGGCUAACUCCGUG